AGCAGCCGCGGUAAUUUCAGCUCCAAUAGCGUAUAUUAAAGUUGUUGCAGUUAAAAAGCUCGUAGUUGAACUUCGGGGUUCACCCAUUGGUCAGGCUUAAUUGUCUGUACUGGUGAGAUGAGUCUCUACCUUCUGAGGAACUUUCAUGCCAUUUGUUUGGUGUGAUUGGAAAUCAGGACUGUUACUUUGAAAAAAUUAGAGUGUUUAAAGCAGGCUAACGUCUGAAUACAUUAGCAUGGAAUAAUGAAAUAGGACGGAUUGAUUCUAUUUCGUUGGUUUCUAGGGUCACCGUAAUGAUUAAUAGGGAUAGUUGGGGGCAUUAGUAUUCAAUUGUCAGAGGUGAAAUUCUUGGAUUUAUUGAAGACUAACUACUGCGAAAGCAUUUGCCAAGGAUGUUUUCAUUAAUCAAGAACGAAAGUUAGGGGAUCGAAGACGAUCAGAUACCGUCGUAGUCUUAACCAUAAACUAUGCCGACUAGGGAUCGGACGCAGUUAAUUUUAUAAUGACGU
rnacentral:rRNA from 1 species